rnacentral:rRNA from 1 species
GAUGAACGCUGGCGGCGUGCUUAACACAUGCAAGUCGAACGAAGCGUAUUCAAGUGAAGUUUUCGGACAAAGCGAGGAUAUGACUUAGUGGCGGACGGGUGAGUAACGCGUGGGCAACCUGCCUUUCACAGCGGGAUAACAGAGGGAAGCUUCUGCUAAUACCGCAUAUACCUUUAUAACGCAUGUUAGGGAGGGGAAAGAAUUAUCGGUGAGAGAUGGGCCCGCGUCCG